GAGUUUGAUUCUGGCUCAGAGUGAACGCUGGCGGCGUGCCUAAUACAUGCAAGUCGAACGGAGAUUAAAGUAAGCUUGCUUAUUUUAAUCUUAGUGGCGCACGGGUGAGUAAUGUAUAGCUAAUCUGCCCUACACUAGAGGACAACAGUUGGAAACGACUGCUAAUACUCUAUACUCCUUCUUUACAUAAGUUAAGUCGGGAAAGUUUUUCGGUGUAGGAUGAGGCUAUAUCGUAUCAGCUAGUUGGUGAGGUAAUGGCUCACCAAGGCUAUGACGCGUAACUGGUCUGAGAGGAUGAUCAGUCACACUGGAACUGAGACACGGUCCAGACUCCUACGGGAGGCAGCAGUAGGGAAUAUUGCUCAAUGGGGGAAACCCUGAAGCAGCAACGCCGCGUGGAGGAUGACACUUUUCGGAGCGUAAACUCCUUUUCUUGGGAAAGAAUUAUG
rnacentral:rRNA from 1 species